UACGAAGGGGGCUAGCGUUGUUCGGAAUUACUGGGCGUAAAGCGCGCGCAGGCGGUCCUUUAAGUCAGGGGUGAAAGCCCAGAGCUCAACUCUGGAACUGCCUUUGAAACCAGAGGACUUGGGUACGGGAGAGGUGAGUGGAAUUCCGAGUGUAGAGGUGAAAUUCGUAGAUAUUCGGAAGGACACCAGUGGCGAAGGCGGCUCACUGGCCCGUUACCGACGCUCAGGCGCGACAGCGUGGGGAGCAAACAGG
rnacentral:rRNA from 1 species